GGUUGUGUGGUGUAGUGGUUAGCACUUUAGACUUUGAAUCUGACAACCUGGGUUCGAAUCCCGGCACGACCU